UAGAAUAAUUUCGAGGAAAGGUGGUCGCAAGGAUGUAAAGUUUUUCAAACAAAACACCUCUACAUAUAUGGAAUGGAAACCAAGAUUGCUUUUAUAUCGAUUGCCGCCUCCUCCUCCUCCUCUUCCUCCUCCUCUUCCCUUUCCCGUCUCUUUUUGCUCUCCGAUUCUUCUUCCUCCGCUUCGCCUCUGCAAAUUUCUUGCGGUUCCUCGUUCGAUCCUCCCGCUCCUGCCGCUGUUCGCCGUUCCGUCUUUCGCCAGUUCUGCGUGCUUCGGGUGAGGAUUCGAGUUCGUAACUCUUGAAUGAUGGCCAGUUUGGAGGUUUUAGCAUGUUUGGUUUAGAUUUAAGAAGCUGAUUAUUUGAAUAGUUUGUUCAACGGUUCAAUUUCGUUUAGGGUUUUGUACUUUUUUUUUUUUUCUUUUUUUUGGUAUGGUUUCGGUUAGGUCGUGAAAUCUUUAGCGAUGUAGUAGCUAAAUUUGGGGCUUUAUUUUUUUAGCAUAUUUUCUGGGACCGUGAUUGGGGGAAAAUAAUAAUUUAUGUUCUUUUUAAGCUGUAAUAGUUCUGCCUUGGAUGCAAUUGGUAAAGUAAAAUGUCGAUAUAGACCGUGGUAA